GAUUCAAACCUACAGCAACAGCAGCUCUAACCUCCCCACCCUGCCUCCUUUCCCCCUCAGCAACUGGCUGCUCCUGCUCCUAUUGGCCGGGACGGGGCUACAUCGCGCUCCCAUUGGUCAAAGCCGGGAGAGGGGGCGGGUGGUGGCUGGGGGGUAUCCAGCGCAGGAAGGCGGCCGCCAUUUUGUGUGGGUGGCGAAGGCAGCGAGCGCAGCAGCGGCGGAGCCGAGGCCCGGGCUGCGCUUUGAGGGGCUCGGAGUGUGGCGUUGCCGGCGGAGAGGCGGCGGGGGGCAGCGGGGGAUCUGGUUCCCGGAGGCUGGGUGUGUGGGAGCGAGUGAGACCGACAGAAGUCGCUUAGACUUCUCCUCUGGAGCCUGUGUGCCGAGAAUCCGAUGUUGGGCUCGGCUUCCUGGCUGAACACAGCAGAUCAGCCCAUGAAAACUUCCAUUCCGAGCCAAAGGAAGGGGUCCAACAGAAGACAGCACCUACUCUUUUGGGCUUGGCAGCAGGAAAGGGAACGGGAGGUGGAGGCUGCAGAGUCUGAAAAGAAGACUGAAAGGUGACAUUUAAGUUGAAGAUGGGUGGUGGAGAAAGGUUCAGCAUUCCAGUUCCCCAGUCUAGAAAUAUUACCAAGAAGAAUAAACAAUUUAAUAACAGGCAAAAGAGCAAAGAUCAGAAUUCUCAAAUGAAGAUGACUUAUAUGAAGAAAGAAAGAGGACAUGGAUGUAGCUCAUCAUCUAUUGCAUGGCAGGCCAUGCAAAAUGGGGGCAAGAACACUGUGCACUUCCCAAAUAAUCAGAAUUGGAGUCCUACUUUAUUAAGUCCCAACUCACUUUUCACAUCUCAAACCAAUCAGAACUAUGCUGGAGCAAAAUUUAGUGAGCCACCUUCACCAAGUGUUCUUCCUAAGCCACCAAGCCACUGGGUACCUGUUUCCUUUAAUCCUUCUGAUAAAGAAAUAAUGACCUUUCAACUUAAAACCUUACUUAAAGUCCAGGCUUGAGAUGUAACUUUAAAAAUUGAAAAGUUAAAAUUUUUACAGGGUUUCAAAUUUGAGAAUGUUAGUUAAAUUCAUAGUUCCAAAAUGCACAAUUUUUUAUGGAAUCAGAUUUGUUAGCUGCAUACAAAAAUUGAGUCACAUGAUGUGGGGACCUCUCUUGAAGAUGUCCAACUUAACUCUUCAUCUCAUUCAGGGUUUUGUGUGCUGUGUGCAUAUACUGUGACAAACUAUGUACUUGCAAUAUCAGUAUGCAAUCUAAACAAAGUUUGGUGGUCAGUAAUGCUAAUAUAUUGUAUUGUUCUCAGAAUUUGAACUGUGACCACUUAAAAUAUGCUGAGUUUUUCACUGGAAAUGAAAGCUAUGGCAGAAAACCAACUUUUACAUUAUGUAAUGCAGCUUUGAUUGGAAAAAGUAAGCAGUUUACAAAACUACUCAAACCUUAAACUAGUAUCUUUCAUACUUGUUUCAGAUCAGUUAAUUGUGUGAAACCUGUUGAAAGCGAAUUAAGAGAUCAUUUUUUUGCAAAACAAAUCUACAUCUAGCCACUAGGAGAUAGAUGUUUUUUGAAUUAUAUUAGUGAACCUUUAUUUGGAGUUCGUGAAUCAGUGAUUGACAGGGCAGACAAACCUGUGUCUAAAAUUUAGAUGAUCUUAGGAAAUUUACUCCCCAGAGAUUGUUUUGUAAGGAUGCAAAAAAUAAUUUGAUGUUAAAAUUGCCUGUCACCGUGUUCAUUUCAAAAAUCUAGAAAUGCAUUUUUAUUUUGAACCUGCACAAUCUGAAAUGUGCCAACUAACAAGCAUUUUGCACUGCCAGGUGACUGCCAAAAAACUUCUAAAACCUUUCCUUUAUUGGGAUUGCACUGAGCAGUUUUUAAAAUGCAUUUUUGUAUCCGUUUUAUAUCUUUGAAAAAGCUGAAAUGAUAGAAUUGUUUGAGCUAAUCUUAAAUUGGAUACCCUGUAAUGUGAAUUUGUUUAAACUGGUGUUGCUUGUGGGAAGUAUGAAACGUUUAAAUAGGUUGGGAAAAGAGCCAUGUAAAUAAAUGUAAAACUUUGUAGCAUAUGUAAAUUUAUGCUGGGCUUUCCUGCAGAAAAAGUAUUUUUAGUACAAAACUGCUGAAUGUAAGAUGACCAUGCUGAGUACAUGGCCUGAUUUAAAAAAAUAUUUUGUUUAAAGAAACUGUAAAAGCACACGUGGCUAUGCCCUUGCACUUAAGUACCAGUGAAUGUUCACGUUGUUUGAUUUUGUUGUAAGCUGGUUUUUUUAAGUAAAUUCAGUGCAAAUGAGGCUUUUAGAAUUUUUAAUAAAACAAAAAACCUAAAAAAAAAAAGCUACACCAAUCUGUAUAAGGUACAUCUAUUUUGAAUGUAUAAAAGUGACUUUAGUUGGGAUGAACUAUUAUAGUACGCUAAAAAGGUUCUAAAAAUCUAUUAAUGUAAAAGUCUCUCAGUAGAAAUGUUUAUAUAAAUACCUAAGAGCUAGAGCCCUGCCUACAAUUUAAAAAAGUAUUCUAGCUGGUUUUAUCCAGCAUUUUUGUAUUUGAGAGCACAGUAACUCCAUUGAUACUGUAAUGAAGAUUGAGCCAUCCACAUCUGGCUUUUAUUAUGUGGAAUUUAGAUGUCUCAAUACUGUAUUUAAUGUCCCUCCCCUUAAAGAACCACUGAAGUGCUGUUCUAUUUAAAAAUAUAUAAAACCCUAUUAAGUCUUCCUUCUGGACUUUAUUCCCAGUAUGCUGGUUGCCAGCAUAUUAGUGUUUAGUAAAAGCUGUUUGUAAUAUGAUACCCAAUGCUUGAUUUUAUUCAGCGAUGCCAUAAUCCACUGUUUACAAAAGCACAGAUGCUUCCACUGUGGAAGCAAGAAACUGAUUUGUGACAUGCUGAAAGAAUAUGAAGACAGUUGUUUAAACACAGUAAUCAGCAAUAAUGAAGAAUGAGUAAAUAGGGUAAUGAUUACAAAAAGUAGUUUGCUAAAACAAAAGUGGUUCUUUAAGUGCUCAAGAUACACUUCUGUGCAUAUAGUUCUGUUUAUACAUUCAAAAUGUGCUGGCAGCUAUCUAUGUUUACACAUGUUCUCUCCAAAUAAGAUGAACAGAUUGGCAGUUUUCUAAAAUUAUUACAUUCCUGUCUCCCAAACUCUCACCAAAUGUCAUCCAUUGUACCCAAAGUGUAAUUGUGUUAUAUUUGAAAUUUAAAGUGUUUAUGAAGUACUGCUUGUACAUGUAUCAAUUGGAAAUUAAAAAAAAAAAACCAAAACAAAUAAACUACCUAACCUUUUCUCCCCUUAAACAUGUCUGUUUUUGUUAAAAAUUGUAUAAAAUGAAUCAUUUCUUGCUACAGCCUUACAUUUUACACUGAGAUUGAAUGUCAGCAUAGAUUCUAAUUAAGACCAGGAAAGAGGUGAUUUUGUAAUGUAUUCUGAAAAUGCUUGAUUCUGAGGUGAGAGAGACUGAAAGAGGGGAGACUUUAGCAGUAUUUUGAACAUGAGCACUCAGCAGGAGCUGACUGGGUAGUAAAAGAUUUUUGUGCAGAUGGUGACAGGAGAUUUUUAAUGCAUGGCUGAACGGGGGGGGGGGGGGGGGGGGGGGGUAGGAGGGAGACACACAUUACAUUUUAUGCCUGGGAGAUACAAAUGAUAGUGGAAAUGUAAAUUGAAAGAGGCAGAAGAAAACAUUCAGGAGUAAAGACAGCACCUAAAGAGAUGUUGGUUUCCUCAUACUCUUGUCUGUGACCAGAAGUUGUAUCUUGUCUUGUAUUUGGACUGUAAGCUCUUUUGGGCAGGGUUGUUUGUACAGUACCUAGCACAUUAAGGUCCUGAUCCAUUACUGGGUACUAUUAGAAUAUAAAUAAAAUGACAACUGUAGAGCUAGGUAGACUUAGAAAUUAGUGGUAUAGAAGUGGUAAUUGAAGCCCUAGGACAAGGUUUCAGAAAAAAUGGAUGAAUAUUUCCCUUAAAAAAAAAAAAACUGUUCUAUACAGAUCUCUCCUAUAUUACCCAUGAGCACUCUUUCUGUGAGAGGGAUCAGUAUUUGAAAGUAACAACCCUGAGUUAUUUUACACCAAUGAAACCAUGUGCUAAUUUCUAACUGCUUGAGACUCAUUAGUAUGAAGGUCAGAAACCAUAAGACAAGUUACUUGUUCCUUAUUUUUACUGUGUAUGUUUCCAAAGUUGACUAGUUUUUCUAAUGGAGAAAGCAUGCACUUCUUUGCUGGCUGAAACAUUUUACACAAGUGUCAGGUCUUCCCUAGUGGGUCUGGCUUCAAACCAAAACCCAAGCUAUACUUGGUUGGGAUAGGUUUAAAAAGUCUUCAUACCCAUUUAACGCCAAUGCCUGAAAGGAAAACUCUUUGCAAGAGAUUCAAUCCUCCUUCCCUUCACCAUUGAAGCCUGAGAACUUAGCAUGAUAGUCAUGUCAUAAAAUGAGCAGAAUUUUUUUUUUUUUUUUUUUUAAAAGAUAGACACAAUCCAUACAUUUUCAAUGCUCUGCUGCAGUUAAAUCCAGUAGGUGUAAUGAACAAUUAUAAAAAUCCAGAUUUAAACUCAAUAUUGGUUCAAAGUGAGUAACUGGAAUUAGAAAAAUCAAAGCUUUUCCCCCCAGAAGAGAUGGUUCUGUGUUCAUAUAGCAACUACCAUGAUGGGAUCCUGGCUACUACAGAACAGUGCUUCUCAAGACAUUCCAACAGCAGUGGAUUUAAACAUUCUGCUCUUCUGUAGCGUAGUACACAAUUUUUUCAAACAGAUUAAUGGUAAACAGCACAGGGGACAUAUAGUUUACAUUCUCAGCUUCACCUUCCAAUUUCCCCUACUUUUAACUUGCACUUCAGUUAAAUAAUCUUUCUAGGCUCCCCCAACUGCUAUUGAAAUUCAUUUGGUGUCUGGUGACUUGAUUCCUCAUCUGUAAAAUGUGGAUAAUACCUACCUCACAUGGUGGUUGCAAGGUGUUCAAAUACUACUGUAACAAGGGCCCAUAUAAAAUUGCUUGAAUGUAAGAUUCUCACAAUUUUAAGUAUCAGCUGCCUACCAAGAACAGGUAGGGAUCUGAUUUACUAAACUCAAGUAUUUACAGAUUUAUAUGAAAUGAAUAGUUGAAAAUGGGAGAGAAAAAUACCCCCUAUACAACAGACUACAAACCAGGACAGCCUGAAAGUUACAACAGAAAACAACUUUUCAGACUGAACUCUCCUAACAUUAAGGAUAAAACUACAUUCUGAUACUACGCCCAAAGGCACUUACUUUUCCGAUCACCCUGCGCAAACUGGAUUUCUAUCUGACGGCCACAAAUCCACUUCCGAUCCAAAUUAUGGAGGGCAUCUUCAGCAUCACGGACAUCUUCAAAUGUGCUAAGCGUUAAGGUACUUGGGAAUUUGAGUAGUUAACAACUUCAAAUUAACAGUUUUUCCUGGAUUUUUAAUCUCACUAUAGGGCACACUAAAAACGGUCUCCCAUUAACUGUAAGGUUGUAGGAGAAUUUUUGGAGAGAGAAUACUAUACAAAUCUUUUGAUAUAGGUACAACCAAGAGUAUUUAUCCUUUAGUGAACAAUCACCAUGUAACUCCUUAGCCUUCUUUUCUCCUAUAUAUACACUGAUGUAUCAAAAGUAGUUAAAGAAGUUUAGUUAUUAGUGAUCUGAUUCUCUAGGUUUGCCUUACCCUCCCGCCCCCCAAAAAAGAGGGGGGGAUGCUAACUCUUAAAAUGCUUAAGCAACAUUAGUAAAAAGUGAAAAUUCUGCAUUCAUUACAUGACUGUAUUCAUGAAACUUAUUCCCUUUUUCACCUACUCCUUUAAAACUGAUUCUGACUUUCAGCAAUUGUUACUCAAAUAUAUAGACCACUGUAUUCUAUUAAAAAAUAAAGCAUAUACUGAAACAUUAAGCUAUGGAUUAGAUGAUCAAUAUCUUUAAUCCAUAAGACUGUUCACUGUAAUUCACUCAUAUUCCUCUGUCUAGCUGACCUGAAAGACUAAAUCAUCUGUAUUGGUCUGCAUACCAACUUCGUCCAUCAUCUCCUGGUUACCAUAUAGGUAUACUUAUCUUGAUAAAUAAACCAAGAAUGAAUGCAUUUCAUUCAAGACAGUUACAAUUUCAAUACCACCCACAAGUGAAUAUUAUAGGUUCUGUCAACAGACUAAACCAGAAUAAUUUAUCAAGUUACCACUUACACGAGAAACAGAAAAAAAACGGUUAUUCUGUAGGAUACAUCAGGUAUGACUCCUUUAAUCUUGGCCACCAUUCAACUUCAUCUUGACCUUUAACUCUUUAAGUGCUUGUCAGAAGGACUUGUCAUGAGAUGCUUGGUCAAAAAUGACAGAUGGCUUUAUC